rnacentral:rRNA from 1 species
AGUGAACGCUGGCGGCAGGCCUAACACAUGCAAGUCGAACGGUAACAGGAAGAAGCUUGCUUCUUUGCUGACGAGCGGCUGACGGGGGAGCAAUGUUUGGGAAACUGCCUGAUGGAGGGGGAUAUAUAAUGGAAACGGCAGCUAAUAGCGCAUAACGUUGCAAGAUCAAAGAGGGGGACUUUCGGGCGUCUGGCCAUCGGAUGAGCUCAGAUGGGAUUAGCGAGUUGGGGGGGUAACGGCAUACCAAGGCGACGAGCCCUAGCUGGUCUGAGGGGGUGACCAGCCACACGGGAACUGAGACCCGGUCCAGACUCCUACGGGAAGCAGCGGUGGGAAAUAUUACACAAUGGGCGCAAGCCUGAUGCAGCGAUACCGCGUGUAUGAAGAAGGCCUUCGGGUUGUAAAGUACUUUCAGCGGGGAGAAAGGGAGAAAAGUUAAUACCUUUGCUCAUUGACGUUACCCGCAGAAGAAGCACCGGCUAACUCCGUGCCAGCAGCCGCAGUAA